rnacentral:rRNA from 1 species
UAGAGUUUGAUCCUGGCUCAGGAUGAACGCUGGCGGCGUGCCUAACACAUGCAAGUCGAACGGAGUAUUAUGAAGUUUUCGGACAGAUUAAUACUUAGUGGCGGACGGGUGAGUAACGCGUGGGUAACCUGCCUCAUACAGGGGGAUAACAGCCGGAAACGGUUGCUAAAACCGCAUAAUAUGCGGACAUCGCAUGGUGUCCACAUCAAAUAUUUAUAGGUAUGAGAUGGGCCCGCGUCUGAUUAGCUAGUUGGUGAGGUAAUGGCCCACCAAGGCGACGAUCAGUAGCCGGCUUGAGAGAGUGACCGGCCACAUUGGGACUGAGACACGGCCCAAACUCCUACGGGAGGCAGCAGUGGGGAAUAUUGCACAAUGGGGGAAACCCUGAUGCAGCGACGCCGCGUGAGUGAAGAAGUAUUUCGGUAUGUAAAGCUCUAUCAGCAGGGAAGAAAAUGACGGUACCUGACUAAGAAGCCCCGGCUAACUACGUGCCAGCAGCCGCGGUAAUACGUAGGGGGCAAGCGUUAUCCGGAUUUACUGGGUGUAAAGGGAGCGUAGGUGGUUCGGCAAGUCAGAUGUGAAAGCCCGGGGCUCAACCCCGGGACUGCAUUUGAAACUGCCGUACUAGAGUGCAGGAGAGGUAAGUGGAAUUCCUAGUGUAGCGGUGAAAUGCGUAGAUAUUAGGAGGAACACCAGUGGCGAAGGCGGCUUACUGGACUGUAACUGACACUGAGGCUCGAAAGCGUGGGGAGCAAACAGGAUUAGAUACCCUGGUAGUCCACGCGGUAAACGAUGAAUACUAGGUGUCGNNNGUCAA